ensembl:lncRNA
CACCAAGAGAGGGUAAAGUUUGGAAUCCCAGAACCCGGAAAAGCCGAUUAGAGGCUGAGGGAACAAAAACCAGGCAGCGGGAGACGAAAGAGCAGAAACAAGACGCCGAAGCCAAGCCAACCCUGACACGAGACGCCGCUGGUGCCUUCUAGAUCAGGAGAACAGAAGGGAAGAGGGAUUGGAAACAGAGCACGAGGACAGAUCGGAGGGAGAGAGGAGGAGUACUUCAAACAUGGUGGGCGGAUUGGAGAUGAAGGACAGAAGUGGGGAGAGAGAAGUUGAGGAAAGGAGACACACAAGAGAGACAAGAAGGCUGAAGAAGCUGUCAUGUCAUAUAUGCAGUUCACUGAAGGAGGGCACCAAUGAAAACGUAGAACCAAUGUCAUCAUGAAACCUUCAAGCGGAGAGGAUUUGGAGGAGAGAACCCGGCGAGAUGAG